GCACUGCUGAGGAGUCCCACAAUAGGAUUAAACGACCGUCCAGUGC
rfam:Schistosoma margrebowiei strain Zambia genome assembly, scaffold: SMRZ_contig0000014